rnacentral:rRNA from 1 species
CAGUCGCCGCGGUAAUACAGAGGGUGCGAGCGUUAAUCGGAUUUACUGGGCGUAAAGCGUGCGUAGGCGGCUUCUUAAGUCGGAUGUGAAAUCCCUGAGCUUAACUUAGAAAUUGCAUUCGAUACUGGGAAGCUAGAGUAUGGGAGAGGAUGGUAGAAUUCCAGGUGUAGCGGUGAAAUGCGUAGAGAUCUGGAGGAAUACCGAUGGCGAAGGCAGCCAUCUGGCCUAAUACUGACGCUGAGGUACGAAAGCAUGGGGAGCAAACAGGAUUAGAUACCCCUGUAGUCCCUGUCUCUUAUAA